GGGACACGUGGUAUCCUGUCUGAAUAUGGGGGGACCAUCCUCCAAGGCUAAAUACUCCUGACUGACCGAUAGUGAACCAGUACCGUGAGGGAAAGGCGAAAAGAACCCCGGCGAGGGGAGUGAAAAAGAACCUGAAACCGUGUACGUACAAGCAGUGGGAGCCUCUUUUAUGGGGUGACUGCGUACCUUUUGUAUAAUGGGUCAGCGACUUAUAUUCUGUAGCAAGGUUAACCGAAUAGGGGAGCCGAAGGGAAACCGAGUCUUAACUGGGCGUUAAGUUGCAGGGUAUAGACCCGAAACCCGGUGAUCUAGCCAUGGGCAGGUUGAAGGUUGGGUAACACUAACUGGAGGACCGAACCGACUAAUGUUGAAAAAUUAGCGGAUGACUUGUGGCUGGGGGUGAAAGGCCAAUCAAACCGGGAGAUAGCUGGUUCUCCCCGAAAGCUAUUUAGGUAGCGCCUCGUGAAUUCAUCUCCGGGGGUAGAGCACUGUUUCGGCAAGGGGGUCAUCCCGACUUACCAACCCGAUGCAAACUGCGAAUACCGGAGAAUGUUAUCACGGGAGACACACGGCGGGUGCUAACGUCCGUCGUGAAGAGGGAAACAACCCAGACCGCCAGCUAAGGUCCCAAAGUCAUGGUUAAGUGGGAAACGAUGUGGGAAGGCCCAGACAGCCAGGAUGUUGGCUUAGAAGCAGCCAUCAUUUAAAGAAAGCGUA
rnacentral:rRNA from 1 species